rnacentral:rRNA from 1 species
GACGAACGCUGUCGGCGUGCUUAACGCAUGCAAGUCGAACGGUGAAGCUCCAGCUUGCUGGAGUGGAUCAGUGGCGAACGGGUGAGUAACACGUGAGCAACCUGCCCCUGACUCUGGAAUAAGCGCUGGAAACGGCGUCUAAUACUGGAUACGAGAAGGGUCCGCAUGGGCACUUUCUGGAAAGUUUUUCGGUUGGGGAUGGGCUCGCGGCCUAUCAGCUUGUUGGUGAGGUAAUGGCUCACCAAGGCGACGACGGGUAGCCGGCCUGAGAGGGCGACCGGCCACACUGGGACUGAGACACGGCCCAGACUCCUACGGGAGGCAGCAGUGGGGAAUAUUGCACAAUGGGCGAAAGCCUGAUGCAGCGACGCCGCGUGAGGGAUGACGGCCUUCGGGUUGUAAACCUCUUUCAGCAGGGAAGAAGCGAAAGUGACGGUACCUGCAGAAGAAGCACCGGCUAACUACGUG